GAUGAACGCUGGCGGCGUGCCUAAUACAUGCAAGUCGAGCGAACGGACGAGAAGCUUGCUUCUCUGAUGUUAGCGGCGGACGGGUGAGUAACACGUGGAUAACCUACCUAUAAGACUGGGAUAACUUCGGGAAACCGGAGCUAAUACCGGACAAUAUUUUGAACCGCAUGGUUCAAAAGUGAAAGACGGUCUUGCUGUCACUUAUAGAUGGAUCCGCGCUGCAUUAGCUAGUUGGUAAGGUAACGGCUUACCAAGGCAACGAUGCAUAGCCGACCUGAGAGGGUGAUCGGCCACACUGGAACUGAGACACGGUCCAGACUCCUACGGGAGGCAGCAGUAGGGAAUCUUCCGCAAUGGGCGAAAGCCUGACGGAGCAACGCCGCGUGAGUGAUGAAGGUCUUCGGAUCGUAAAACUCUGUUAUUAGGGAAGAACAUAUGUGUAAGUAACUGUGCACAUCUUGACGGUACCUAAUCAGAAAGCCACGGCUAACUACGU
rnacentral:rRNA from 1 species